AACGAACGCUGGCGGCAUGCCUAACACAUGCAAGUCGAACGAGACCUUCGGGUCUAGUGGCGCACGGGUGCGUAACGCGUGGGAACCUGCCCUUAGGUUCGGAAUAACUCCCCUAAAGGGGUGCUAAUACCGGAUAAUGUCUUCGGACCAAAGAUUUAUCGCCUUUGGAUGGGCCCGCGUUGGAUUAGCUAGUUGGUAGGGUAAAAGCCUACCAAGGCGACGAUCCAUAGCUGGUCUGAGAGGAUGAUCAACCACACUGGGACUGAGACACGGCCCAGACUCCUACGGGAGGCAGCAGUGGGGAAUAUUGGACAAUGGGCGAAAGCCUGAUCCAGCAAGGCCGCGUGAGUGAUGAAGGCCUUAGGGUUGUAAAGCUCUUUUACCCGGGAUGAUAAUGACAGUACCGGGAGAAUAAGCUCCGGCUAACUCCGU
rnacentral:rRNA from 1 species